GAUUGGGCAAAUAACUGCCCUUAAACAGGCGGCUAGAUGCAUUCAGCUUAAGCAGGUGGAUGAAUGCCUUUAGGUUGGGCAAAUGACUGCACUUAGGCAGGUGGUUAUACGCCUUGCUAUAUUGUGAUAAUAAAUCAGCUCUUUAGAUUCCUGCCAAUCCUACUUUUCAGAAGAGAACCAAACACACAGAUAUUGACUGCCAUUUUGUCUAUGAGAAGCUUCAUGUUAGUCUUAUGAAGCUGCUGCCAUCUUGUUAUUUACGUAUAUAAACAGAGCUUCUGCUCAUUCAUUCAAUCUAUCAAUAAAAUUUCCUUUUUUCCCAAAAUCUCUUCA
rnacentral:misc_RNA from 1 species